GACGAACGCUGGCGGCGUGCUUAACACAUGCAAGUCGAACGGAAAGGCCCUGCUUGCAGGGUACUCGAGUGGCGAACGGGUGAGUAACACGUGGGUGAUCUGCCCUGCACUUCGGGAUAAGCCUGGGAAACUGGGUCUAAUACCGGAUAGGAGCCAUUUUUAGUGUGAUGGUUGGAAAGUUUUUUCGGUGUAGGAUGAGCUCGCGGCCUAUCAGCUUGUUGGUGGGGUAAUGGCCUACCAAGGCGGCGACGGGUAGCCGGCCUGAGGGGGUGGACGGCCACAUUGGGACUGAGAUACGGCCCAGACUCCUACGGGAGGCAGCAGUGGGGAAUAUUGCACAAUGGGCGCAAGCCUGAUGCAGCGACGCCGCGUGGGGGAUGACGGCCUUCGGGUUGUAAACUCCUUGCGCUAGGGACGAAGCUUUUUGUGACGGUACCUAGAUAAGAAGCACCGGCUAACUACGUG
rnacentral:rRNA from 1 species